ensembl:lncRNA
CAUCGCGACCCCGCAGCACAGAACCAUCCUCGUCUUCGUCAAACUUUCUCCUCUUCCUCUGAGUCCCGAGCCCCGGAGCUCAGUCCCGGUUCUCCCGCAGCCGCUCCCCGGCCCCAGCGCGCCUCUGCCCGGCCUCAGAGCCUCAUGGAGCCGCGGCCUGGAGCGCGGAGCCCGGUGCAAACGUUCCGGACACAAGCGGAGCUCAUCCUCUCGGCCGCUGUGGAGGGCUCCGUGUCGGCCUGUGCGCGGGACUGUGCGGGUCCAGACACGGAGAGACAGUCUGAUCUGCAGACAGUUCUGGAGACUGUCCUGAGGGAGGCGCUGCGGAAACUCUGCUCUGUCGUACAACUUCUGUUUGAGGAGAAUCAGAGAAAACCUCAAAACAUCUCAAAAUCUGCAGAAAAAAAUGUGAGAUCAGAAAAUAAAGAGAAGAGACCCCCCAGUGUGAGGAAGAACAGCAAAAACAACUGCACAGAGCCCUUUGUUCCCUCAGACUCCGCGGCCGUCGGCCAAUCACCCGUCGCCAUUUCAGUCCUGAACGCCCCAGGACCAAUCACAGGGUCCGUCUACAUCAUCAGCCAGCCAAUCACAGACCAGAGCCACGUCCAGUUUGUGCCAAUCACAGACCAGGACACAGAGGACGUCCACGUUCAUCCAAUCACUGAGCAGGAGGGCCGAGACGCCGUGACAUCACUGCUGACGUCACUUCCUGUGGCUGGUGAUCUGAAGCAGGUGGAGAUCGUUGGAGGAGUGGUGUGUGACCUGACGGAGCCUCAGACGUUCCCAGAUUGGGAGGAGCAGCACGAGGAGGAGCAGCGCGAGGAGGAGCAGCGCGAGGAGGAGCAGCGCGAGGAGGAGCAGCGCGAGGAGGAGCAGCGCGAGGAGGAGCGUCGCCGCCGUAGGGAGCUCUACAAACACAAACGUUUCUUCUGCUCCGAGUGUCACAAAGGCUUCCACCAGAGACACCAGCUCCAGAAGCACAAGGCGAGCCACGCCAAGCCCCACCCCUGCCCCCAGUGCAAUAAAGGCUUCUACCAGGAGGGGACGCUCAAGAGACACCUGUACUACCACGAACUGAGGGCCAAGCAAGACCAGGACCCAGACCACAUGUUCCCCUGCGACCAGUGUGGUGAGACCUGGUUUAGUCCUGGUUUAGACCUGGUUUAGACCUGGUUUAGACCUGGUUUAGUCCUG